AUGGAUCCUUCUGGCCUCCUAGAUAAAGAGGUUACAAAUAGAAGCAGAGAGGUUUUGCCUAUUAUUCCAUCCUUACUCAAGAGCAAACUGGAGUCAAAGAAGCUCUCGCUGAUGAAGUUUUGUGAAAUCUCUCCACCAAUUGCCAAUCGCAUGAAGCAGAUAUCAAAAGAAAAGACUAAAGAAGAGUCAACACCAACAAGUUUGCAAGAUAAAUCAGAUUUUGAGUGCCUGAAGUGCAACACAUUUGCAGAACUCCAGAAUCGACUGGGAAACAUAGACGGAACAGAGUUGGAUCUAUGCAAAGAUCAGGAAGUGAACACUAUGAGCAAAUCACCUCGCUUAAGCCAAACCAAAAAGAAAUCCAAUUCAUUGGACAUUCAAGCAUUAAACAACAGAGAACUCAAUAGUACCAGACAAGAAAACUCCUCAAAAACAUUUGCGAUAAUUCACAACAGUGAAGAAAUUCCAAGUACCGCCAAUUUACCGAUUAUUCAGCCACAGUUAGAUGUUGUCAAACCGAGUGAUCCCAUGCCUAGCCAAUCUCCCAUGUCUAGCCAAUCUCUAAGCAAAUCUAAGCUUCAUAAUAAAAUAAUGAAUAUGAUGCCCACUGCACUAUCUUUGAAAUUGGAAGACCAAGGUAAAAUGAGAUUAUCGGAUAAUUCCACAAUGCGAUCUGAGACAAGAAUAUCUCCUAUCGGCAAGAGUUCUCCGAGGUCUACCUCAUCCUCUUCUUUUUCAUCAUCCCUGUCUUCCAGUUUGAGCUCCCCACCAGCUGUUUCUGCCUCUUUGAAUGGAGACAUUCCACACUGUACAGGAAAAAAACAGCGAGAGAUGAGGGCUACCAUCACUGUGACCGUUCAGAAGCCACUGGAUCUUAAUGGACAUGAUGAGCUUGUGUAUACCGUGGUUGAGGAGGUAACAAUAAAUGGGGCCACUGAGCAAGGAAAGGCACAAAUAUUAAGUAUUCAUGAGUCACCCUCUCUCCAGGCUUUAACUCCAGGAAGUCAGUCUGUCAGGAUUAUCGGCAGCGUAGGUGAAGAACAAACAGCGAGUUUUUAUAGUUCCAACUCUAAUGCACAAACUUCAGAGCAUAAAGCCUCCACGGUCCCAUCAGAUGCAGCUAUUAAACACACAAAAAUCAAUGCACAUAUUGACAAGGCAGGUGGCUUCAUUGAUUCAAAAAACCUUCCGCAGCAUGAUACUUGGUCUGAGGUGCCCCUGACUGAAGAUGUGAAAGAGAUACCUAAAGGAGCCAUGGUUAAACUUGACCCUUCCUGUGAGGUCUCUAAGUCCAGAAAAUAUGCUUGUGAAAUUAAACCUGAGCAGAGCUGGUUGUGCCAAAACAACAAUAAAGAUGUCAAGGAUGUCCCUCACAUGAAAAUAGAACAAAAGAACCCACAGAGUCCAAGAGAAACUCCUGAGAAGAAAAAAUAUACAAAGAAAGACGGCACUGUAGAAUGGACCAAAGACAACAUGCCACCAACAUCAACAAACAGUCCCAAUCUCAAAAGAAAAGAGACGAAAGAAGAAUCUGGAAUAGCCAGAAGUGCAAUGAUAAACAUGGCUACUGAAACUACGACCAGCACUAAAUCUCAUUUUGAGGAGAGCAGCAAGUUGUUUAAUGCAAAACUGAAAGCAUUAUCCAGCAGGAGCCAAACAUGGGAUCACAGUAUGAGCGGACACUCAACAGGAAGCUUGGAAGGUAAUUCUAGCUCAAGACUUAAAAGCAAGUUCCUUGAAGAGACUGCUUUCAUCGAUAUGGCUCCGAAAGGCCUUUUAGAUAAAGAUUAUAUUUCAGCACAACCCAGUCCGCUAGGUUUUAAAGAAGACUUUGAGGACUUUGUAAGGUGUCGAGCUAGCCAGAGUCUCGGGAGGGUUCCACAGUUCUUCCCCAUGCAUGAUGCCAAUGAUCCAACCCGGCCAUCAAAAAACGGUCACUCUAAGACCACGACCAUUAAUAAAUUCAUGCCCAGUUCAAAGAUACACAAGAUGCCAAACUUGUCUCCCAAACCCACUAGACACUCGAUCAACCGGAGCUCAAGCUUUUCUCCUAACGGAGCACCUGUCAGCCAGAGCUACUGGUCAACACACUCCCUAUCCCGAAGUCAAGACAACGGCAGUUUGAAGUCACCCGGUGCAGUCCGGAAAGGAAGAGUUGAGCUUUUAAGAAGCAGUAGAGAUUCUCUUUCUGCUUUUAGUCAAGGUGGGUCUGAUUUAGAUGAAUGUGAGGAACUGGGGACGAUGAAACCUUUCGUUCACACAUUGCCAUCCCCGUAUAGCCGGAUCACAGCUCCACGGACUCCACACCACUGCAGCGGCCAUGCCAUAAAAAAUUGUCUGUCUUUGUAUUUCAUACACAAACUGCUGUUGUAUGGUCCAUUAAAUUGGUAG
ensembl:lncRNA